GUGCAGGGUAUUCUCUUUCAUUGUUCAAACUGAGCUCAACUCCUGAUGCAUGGAGAAAAGGCCUUCACAAGCCUCUGCUAUUGUGUACAUAGUUUAUACUAAGUGACCCGUAGGUUGAGGAGGCGGUGACCGUGGCGGUGUAGGUGGAAGCAGCGGUGGAGGGGAAGGUAGCCAACAACUCGGGCCAAUCGCACAUCCCCGUGAUGGCGACUUUGCAUUCGGAUGUCAUCCAUAUCAACUUUCGAUGCCAGUUUCUGCGCCUACCAUGGUGACCACGGGUAACGAGGAAUCAGGGUUCCAUUCCGUACAGGGACCCUGAGAAACGGCUACCACAUGCAAGGAAGGCA
rnacentral:rRNA from 1 species